UACGUAGGGCGCAAGCGUUGUCCGGAAUUAUUGGGCGUAAAGAGCUCGUAGGCGGCUUGUCACGUCGGGUGUGAAAGCCCGGGGCUUAACCCCGGGUCUGCAUUCGAUACGGGCUAGCUAGAGUGUGGUAGGGGAGAUCGGAAUUCCUGGUGUAGCGGUGAAAUGCGCAGAUAUCAGGAGGAACACCGGUGGCGAAGGCGGGUCUCUGGGCCGAUACUGACGCUAAGGAGCGAAAGCGUGGGGAGCAAACAGG
rnacentral:rRNA from 1 species